GCGUGGAACGGUAGAGUGCCUCUCUUGUAAGGAGGAAGUCGGGGGUUCAAAUCCCUCCGGGGGCU
rnacentral:tRNA from 1 species